rnacentral:lncRNA from 10 species
CCGCUGCCCAGUCCUGGCACUGCCUGGGGUUACUGCUGACCUUUCAGUGCUGUUUGCUCAGAAAGUGCCUUUAUGUCAACACAAACAGCCUUCAGGUUUGCCAGGGCCUGGCUCCUUUUCUCCCUGGGGUCCAGGGUAGAAAAACAAUAACCAGUGGGAAGGAGAGCGAGCCAUAGGGGAGUGACGCGUCCCUGGACCUUGGGUCUCUGUCCUCUCAGCCCUGUCCCUCAGGGCCUCCUUUGUCAGAACUCAGUUCUGUGGGGAGAGGGUACUGGGGAGGCAGCGGCUUUAAACAAUGCCACAGUGUCUGGCAGGGAGCUGCGUGCUUGACCUGAUUAGGCUCAGUGAGCCCGGGGGAGGGAGGGAGUGAAGGCAGGCUUGGGAAAGUGUUUUCCAUCCCCACCCAACAGACUUUGCUUCCUUGUAUCUCUGCCAAGACCUCUUUUUGGGGAGGAAAGGCCGAAUCGCCUCAUUUCUACAGGGGCACCUUGGCCUCGCUCCUCUAAACCUGGCUCUCCCUCCUCAGGCCCUGCCAGGCCCGAAGCUGGGCCCAGAGGCCAGCUGGCACCCACAUGAAAGGCCUUCCUGUCGAGAACUGGCAUGGAACCCAGGGCCUCAAGGCUGCCCACACCACAGCCCUGGCCCAGGGUCCAGAGCACAGGGCCACGGAAACUUGGCCACAAGGCUCUGGGGAGAAAAACAGCCUGAGCCGCACAGGAGAGGAGCCUCCCAUCCCCGCAGCCUGGCUGGGCACAUCAAGGGAGAAAGCGCAGUGCCCAGAAUCCUUUGAACAUGAAGCCGCAGCACCUGCACCUGGCAGAGGACCCGGGAACCAGGGAUUCGUGCUGGGGGCAGCACUUGGGGUUUGUUAGUGCAGGUGGAGAGAAAACAGGAGAGUAGCAAUUUCCAACCCAUCAGCAGAAAAAAGUGAAAGCUGAGAAGUCAGGGUGAGGCUGGAGGGGACAGGAUGGGGUGGCUGGGUGGGCCCAGAAUUGAGAUCUGAUUUGCAAAAUGGUGGCAAAAGGCAACAGACUGCGGCUCCCUUGAGAGAAAAACCUGGUCUCCCAACCGGCAAUGGGUGUGGUUAUCAAACGCACAGCCAUGCCUGUUCCCAGGAUGCAGGUGCAGUCUGGAUAAACUGAGACUAGGGUUGGGGGGGAUCUGUUCAAGGUUGCACAGCACCUUCAAGAUGGGGCUUGAACUACAAACCCAGGACUCCGGACCUGGAAAGAAUCUCCUAGGAGGUUCUGGAGGGUUCAUUCUUGGACAGAAAUCUGGGAGAACCUACAGCAAAAUGGCAACAAUGUGAUUGUGGGUAACUUAAAGUUUGUGGUUUUGUGUGUGGUUUUUUGUUUUUUGCUUACCUGUGCUUUCUACUUUUUUUUUUUUUUUUUUUUUUUUUUUUUUACAGUGAGAAAAAAAUACCUGUGGGGAAAAAAACAUAAUGGAAAAUAAGAGUUUUGAUGAAAUGAUACACUACACAUAAGGUGUUAAGCAGGAUGAGGGGCUGGCAUUUAAUAAUGGAUAAAUAAAGGUUAAAAGUAAUUAGCUUAAGGGGAGAGAGGGCAAGGAAGAGGAAGCAGAAGGAAGGGAGAAAGGGGAAAGAGGAACAUCCAAAGUAAGGAAGAAGUCAAAGCUAAAGGAAAGGAGUGAAAGAGGGAAAGGAGAAAGAAUAUUAACAAGAAGAGUGAAUAUUGGCCAGGUACAGCAGCUCAUGCCUAUAAUUCCAGUGCUUUGAGAGGCAGAGGCAGGAGGAUCACUUGAGCCCAGGAGUUUGAGACCAGCCUGAGCAACACAGCAAGACCUUGUCUCUACAAAAAUUGAAAAAAUUAACCAGGCUUAGUGGCACGCAUCUGUAGUCUCAGCUACUCAGGAGACUUAGGAGGAAGGAUUGCUUGAGCCCAG